GGUAUCUGAAGCAAAGCUUCUGCUUCUCAGCCUUGACUGGGAGGUCAAGUUCAAGACCAGAGAGAAAGUGGAGGCUCUGCCCCCUUUACCUGUCCAGCUUUAUCCUAAAAGCAGCUGAUAGCCUUUGGGUAGAGGUGCAGGUACUCUGAGGAAAGGAGUCCAAUGCUUUUAUUCUUUUGUUUUCAGCCACGCUGCGCAGCACGCGGGAUCUUAGUUCCCUGACCGGGGAUCAAACCCGAGACCCCUGCAGUAGAAGCACGGGGUCCUAACCACUGGACCGCCAGGGAAGUCCCCCCCAACGUUUUUAUUCUUGACAAGGGAAGGAUGAGAUGAGACCUGGAGCCAAGAAUCGUCAGGUAACAAUGUCUCAAAGGUCUCACUCCUGAAUGAAGUUAAAAUUGCAUGUCACCCAAUAGCAUAUGCAGUUUUGUAGCUUAUUUUGCUGUCAAAAUUACCACCCUGCAACAACAUGAGACGUUAAUGGGGGACGCGGCGUGAUUUACCUCGACGGCUCUGGGCCCCAUGGCCAGGGAGGACUUCCCACGUCCAAGUGGCCACACGUUUGGGGAAGCUGUGGCACCUCGGCCCUUCAGCUCUGCCUUUCGUACCCUAACCAUGCCACCCAACACGGCAGGCCUCUCCUGAGACGAAAAAGAAAUGAAAAUUAAAACACUGCUUUGGGCCCUAGGCACUGUGCCUGAUGGGUAUGUCAGCCCUGACCUGGGUUGCAGGAUCCGAGCUUCAAAUCUUUCUCCAGGAGCUUCUUGCCUUUAAGGACAGGGCAGCCUGGCCAAGGCAGCUCAUUGGAGGAGCUUAGGUGAGAGGCAUCCUGCUUCCCCCAGCCUGGUCCAAGUUGCUCCCCAUGCUUCCCUAGGGCUCCCCACCCCUUGGCAAGGUCAGAUACGCUCUCCUUCAAUGGCUGUCUCCACCUCCCAUUUACUUGUUUUUAUUUUAAACAAAUAGGCCAGAGCCACUGCUGUGGAUUUUCCGGUGCAUUGGAGAGCUGGGGACCGUUUGUGAGUGCAGGGGCAGAACGCUCCCCCUGCAGGCGUGGUUGGCUGUGAUGAUGGGAAAGGGCAUUAAUGAUGGGCUACGAUGGCUGACCCCUGACCUCAUCGGCCGCAGCCCCUCUCCCCAGCCAAGUUUCUGCAGUCUGGUCAGCUGCGAGGGGUUUAAAGGGUAGCCGUUGUCCCUGGUCAGCCAGCCUACCAUUAAUAAUGUUUUCAUCCGAGACAGUGACAGACCCGUGGUAGCUGAGGAGAGUUUAUUAAAGUCAGUCUAUAAAUAAGAAUUAAAACUUUUAAAAACUGGGUUGACACAGAUAGACAGAUGAACAAAGUGAUUGGGCAAAACAAUAAAUAUAAGAAGGACAAGAUGCUUGAAGAGCCUGGCCUGCAAAGGAAGGCCCGGCCCACCCUCUCUCCAGCCUCCCCCCAAGUUUACAUUUCAUGAAGCUGCUUCAGAACUGGUAGGUUUUGUGAGUCUGGGCCCUGGCUAAUAUUCUGUCAUUUAAUGCCUGGUCUCUCAGCUGAAAAAAGGAUUGCAGCCACUUCUCUAUGUCAGGAGCCAGUAGAACUUAAAUGUCUCAUGUCCUCGGCGUGCGCGCAGACGGCCUGACCCGAGCUAGGCUCCGGGCCUGCGGGCAAGUGGCAGCUGGUCCUGGCUUUGCCGGCCCAGCCCUUGUCUGGGGACUGACUGAGCAAAGGGGCCAGGGAGGCUUUGAGCUGGAAGCAUGUCUUCCUGCAGCCUAGUCCCAGCUCAGAGGGCAGGUAUCCCCCCUACAGCCUGCGUGUCUUUGGGGUGUCGGCACAGACCACUCUACUCCAUUCCUCAGCCACGUGGCUUGACCUAUGCAGGGCUUUUUAACAAUCGUGAUGAUUUUAAUGACGUACUUAAACAACUGUUUCAAUUCUCUUUUGCAUGUGUUGGCUCAUUGGACCCUCACGAGAAGCCCAAGAAAGGCUCAGGGCAAGUUUGAUAAUCUCCAUUUGGAAGAUGUUCUGGGCACAGAGAGGCUAGGCUGGCCUGAGGUCACUCCGGACAUAGGAGCAGAGCCAGGUCACUGUCCACUAACUGUGGGGAGAAGAAGUGGAGGAAGGCCGUGGGUAGGAAGCCCAGGCCCUGCUGGGAAAUGGGACUUGGCCGGCGUUCCACCUGCGAGGCAUGCCCGUUAGUUAGCGUUGACAUGGACUCAUCUUGGCCUCAGUGAUAACCAGGGAGCAGCACGGUGGCCCUGCAGGGCUGUCAGGCCCCAAAGAACCUUCUGGAUCAUCACAUUAUUAGGAUUUGGGUCGGUCUGGUGCUUUAUUCCACAUAAGGGAAUGUCACUGUGUCCCCUCUUUCAGAACAAUUAGACUGAAGCACCCGUGGUAGUUAAUUCUCAGUUAAGGGGAAUCAUCAGUAAAUCGGAAUGCCCCGAUGCAGAGGCAGGUGAUAGACAAGAGGAUGAUUUCCCCGAAAUGUUCUGCCCCCUGUUGCUUCUCAUGUUGGGUCGGCCCAUGACCCAGGCUCAAGCUGGGGGGUUUCAGGGGUUCCCCCAGAGACUGGGAGCUGCACACAACUCCCACCCAGAGCCACAGGUGCUGCUAGGUGUCUGGCCAGGACCUUUGUGCUCUCUUUGUGAGCCUCAGUUUCCCCCCUGUGCAGUGGGAUUGAUACCCAAUCCUGUCUCUGAGGCUCAAACAGCUCUGAAAAGGCCUCAUGAAUUAGGGUCAAGGUCCAGCCAAGCCUGGGAGCUGUAGCAUGAUGUUAAACUGGCCCUGUUUCCUGAGAGUCUGAAUGGCCCAGAGCACCAGCAUUCACCUGGACUUGCCCAUUUUUUGCACCCAAUUUAGUAACAAACUUGGAGGCCCCAGGAACACUGGGCUGGAAAGGCCCUGGCCACUGAGGCAGGAGGCAAGAAAGGAAAUGGCGUUUCCCCUCCCCUCUAUGAAUGACCCACAUCCCCCAGAGGACUCUGCCCCCCAUCUCACCCACCAUGCUGAGCAGCACAGGUGUCGCCACCCAAGAGCUCAAUUCUAGGAAGGAAUUGGUCUCUCCAGCCCAGGGCACCCAUGUGUGAGGCACAGGGAAGGCAAGGCAAGUGGGAGGGCUGCGUUUGGGGGCCUUGCCAGGAGGUGGGCAGGCCUCAUUCCGGACCUCCAGGCAGCCCCUCUGCCGGGGAGCGGGUUGCUAUGGAUGUCAUCACCACCAGCCCUGGGAGCGCUUCCUGGCCAAGAAACACACAGGUUUUGUGACUUGGUGAAGGAAACUGGAACCACAGACAUACCUGUGCCCAGCAGUAGAGCCUCCCGGGGUCCACUCCCACCUCCUGCCCCCUCCCUUACCCAAAUGAUCCUCGUUCAUGCUCACUUUCUUCACCACCUGAAAUGAUGUAUUUUUCCCUUGUUGACUGUCUGCCUCUCCCCCUAAGGGUGUAAGUGCGUGGAGCACGAGAGACAGAUGCACAUUGGAGGGCCUCCCACUCAGUAACUCUGGAUGAAGGCAAGAGCGGAUGAGUGAUGAAUGUGAGGGAUGCUCAUGACCCGGAACGAUCUUCCACAGGUGGGCCAUUGUCCUUAAAGGAAGGGGGAACUGCAGAUAGACCAUGGGCAUCUUCCCCAUCACAGAGUGCCCACUCACCUGCCACCUGGAGUUGCUCUGGGGCUGUGGUCCCCUCGCCAUCAUUUGCAGAUUCUACAUACCUUUACCUUCCCCCUGCUGUGCGUGCCCCUUGAUUACUCUUUGACGUGAAUAAUGAUAACCUUUGUUUGGAGAAUGACAUGACUUACUGGUGACCACUUCAGAUGUAACUCCACGGGCCUGAGGGCCACCAGAGACAUAAAGGGAACGUAGACCAUCGUCAGACUGGACGCUGGGUAGCGGGCAGUUUACAGCAAGGCUGUUAUGGAAAUACAACCGUAGCCUAACGAAAGAAACCUAGAAGCUGAAAGCAAGAAGUUACUUCUCCCAGCAGAAAGGAGAUUGCCAGCAGGAAGGACUGGGCGUUUCUGCUGAGGGGCUGUGCUGCCCCGGCUGCUUCCCUUGGCCGGUGGGCGCCAUCGUCAGGCCUCUUCGCUCCAGAAGCUUCCGCAUUGCCGGCUCCCUCAAGACAAAAGGCGCUAUGGCAACUGUUGCGAUGAAUCAUUCCUGACAUCUAAAGGUUUUGCUGCUGAGGUCAUCUGGCAGGUGGCAAAGCACACAGGUCCCAGGGACAGCACUGCUCCUUCCUACCUGGGGAGCCUGGGAGCAUCACUGGCCUCUUAGAACCUCAGUGCCAUUAUCUCUAAAAUGGGACCAGAGAUAAUGAAUAUCAUAGUAGUGAUAUUUUUAAAUUAAAUAAUUAAUUAGUUGUAUUUUUGGCCGCGUUGCGUCUUCGCUGCUGUGUGCUGGCUUUCUCUAGUUGUGGCGAGCAGGGGCUACUCUUUGAUGCGGUGCGAGGGCUUCUCAUCACGGUGGCUUCUCUUGUUGCAGAGCACGGGCUCUAGGCAUGCAAGCUUCAGUAGUUGUGGCACGCGGGCCCAGUAGUUGUGGCUCGCGGGCUCUAGAGCGCAGGCUCAGUAGUUGUGGUGCACGGGCUUAGUUGUUCCGCGAAAUGCGGGAUCUUCCUGGCCCGGGGCUCAAGCCCAUGUCCCCUGCAUUGGCAGGCGGAUUCUUCACCACUGCAUCACCAGGGAAGCCCCAUAGUAGUAAUUUUGUCAUAGGGUCAUCAUAAAGAUUAAAAGGGAUCAUCCAUGUAAAUUACCCAGCAAAUACAGUGUUCAAUAUAGUUUGUUGUUUCUGUUCUUAAGUACUUUCACUGGUGUUAAUCAUCUUUUAUCCUCAUGGUAACGUUGUGAGUUUGUGAUUAUUAUGACAAUUUUACUGAUGAGGAAUUUCGGGUUCCAAGAAGUCCCUUGACUAACUUGUGCUCACUGAGCCAGCAGGGGGUGGGGCUGGCGUGGCCCCAGUGUUCCCUGCACUAGCAGAUGCUUUGGCCCUCCAAUGUGCAUCAGAAGUUCAUUUUCCUCAGCAAGCCAUUCCCAGAACCGAACAAACCACUCAGUGGGACCAUUUAGAUCAGUGCUGUCAAUAUUUUGGACACUGUCACGUAAUUAAAAUUAAGUCAAGUUAAAAAUUUAGUUCCCAGCUGUACCAGCUACUGUGGCUGGCGGCUGCAGUAUUGGACAGUACCGUGUUUCCAUUACCUCAGAAAGUUCUAUUGGACCAUGCUGAGCCCUCCUCUCAGCUUUGCCUUUCCUCCAUGUGCAAAAACUUUCUUUGGGUCACAAACUGAGCUUGUUUCAUCAGCACCAGCCAGUUGGGAGAUGGGAAGAUUAAUCUGUAGCCUAUCUGACAGCAAAGAAAGAGAUGUUACAAUGUUGAUCAGAAAGAACAAAAUCCUGCCGGGGCAAAAGAGAAAAUUCACUCAUCAAAUAUAGUUUAAAUUAUUUGAAAAUAUGCCGUACCUGUUUUUUUUUUUUUUUUUUUUUUUGUGGUACGCGGGCCUCUCUCUGUUGUGGCCUCUCCUGUUGCGGAGCACAGGCUCCGGACGCGCAGGCUCAGCGGCCAUGGCUCACGGGCCCAGCCCCUCCGCGGCACGUGGGAUCUUCUCGGACCGGGGCGCGAACCCGCAUCCCCUGCAUCGGCAGGUGGACUCUCAACCACUGCGCCACCAGGGAAGCCCCUGUAACUGUUUAAUGUUUAAAGCAAAAGAAAGCGGCAAAGUAACCGAGCGUGAGAUAGCUUUCAAUAAAUAAUCAUGGAAUAAAUAGGAAUAUUCGCAUGGGAGCCCUGGAAAUGCACAAGUAGUUUGCUACCAAUAAAAUGAAAAGGAUAAAAAUAAAACACAAUACAGCAGCGAAAGUAUUUAUAUAAAUCAUGAAAAUGUAAGGAAAGAAAAAGAGCCAGCUGCCCUAGCUCACAUUUGGAACAAGGUAACAUGAGAAAUAUAAGUCUGCCACCAAAGAUUGUAUUAGAAGCUGGGAAAUAACGAACAUGAUUGCAUUGUAGUUUUUCCAAGGGUGAAAUUUACAAACGAUUUACUAUAAAUGUUUACCCAGUGUACAAUAGAGAAAUGUGAUCAGAGAUAAAUUAUCUUAAAAUUUUCACCACAUUCUUAUGUAUUCCACUUGAGAAGGGGACAUGGGGAUUUUAAACAUACUAUUGUAUGUUCACCUCCCCAGGAGGCCUCCCACCCUCUUUUUAAUUUUUUUUUUCUUCCUUUUUGGCUUAACUUAAGCUACUGGACAAAGCGGUCCCUUUGAGCCUCUGCUAAGAAAGUCAAGCUGCGGGGCCUGCAGUGAGGUGUUCAUUGAUGAACAAUCAGAUCAAUACCCGUUCCAUUAAUCAACAGUUUCAGAGCAAAAUCCACAUCCAAAGGAAAGAACACUUUGUUCUCAUUCCUUAAAUGGAAAGAGAAGUUUGGCUGAUGGAUUUGCCCCCACGGGUCUGCUUGCACCUAAUAAGGUUCACACCCUUGUGUGUUGGACAAACUCUUCUCCAGCUCAGUUCACGUUAAAGGCAAAAUCUUUGGAGUUGGAAGACAGAAGUUCAGGGUCAGCUCUGCCCUUACCUGACCCUGGGUCUCCCCCAAGUUGUGUAGUUUCUUUGUCAGCAGAAUGGGGCCAAUGGAUGUGACGUUAAAAGAACUUUUAUACUGUGAAGCAUUAGGUGAGUGUGGGUUAUUAUUGUGAGGGAUUUUCCUGGGCGUGGACUCCCAGUUCCCUCAUCCUCAUGCUACCCGCCACCUCUCCAGCCUUUUCCCCAAAUGCCCAUGCUGCAGAGGGCAACACCGGCUCAACAAAUCACAGCGAGAUGCCAGUGUCUUCCACGGGUCACCCUUUCUAGUCCCACAAAAAAUUAGCAAAGGGACUGGAGUUGUCUAGUCUGCAGAAGGGAAGACCUGACAGCCCGGCUGACACCUUCAAACACUGAAAUGACUCCUGGGCUGCAAUGAGUAGGCCUGUUCUACGAGGCUCCAGAAAAUAGAAUGAGGAUCUGUGUGGGGAAACAGACCGUAGGCUGGCAUAAAAUUGUUCUUGCGGUUGGAACACUUUCGGGGGAUGAGCUCUCUUGGGAGGUAACGAGUUCCCCGUCCCUGGAAGCGUUUAAGCAGAGGCCAGGUUCCCUACCCAUUGAGAAGUUGGAUGAGGUCACCUAAGGAACCACUCUCAGGUUCUGUGCUAUGAGGGAAGUCGAAGCUGAUCCUCAAAAAACCGUUUCUACUGAUGACCUUUCAGACAACAUGCUACCUACGUAGGUGAAAAUUUUCAGCAAGGCACUGACUAGAAACCUCUUAAGGCCCAUAUGCAGGUAACAGCGGCCCAGCCUAGCCCUCCCCUCAGCUGCAGCUUCAACCAUGAGAUGCUCUUCCAUAAGCAAGUGGGGCUGAAGUGUAAAAGAGAGCAGUUUCCCAGCCUGAAGCAUUGCUGGGGCAAAGGAGCGUCUCAGCUUCCGCCGUGGUCUGGGGGCCCCCAGUCCCCAGGUACAAAAGCCUUUCUUCUCCGAAGGUUAGCUGCUAAGCACCAAACUUUGAGAGCUGCCAGCCGGGACUGCACCAUCGAGAAGCAGACACAGGCCCAGCCACUACAGAGUGGCAGGCUGAGUUCCAUUUUCUCUCUGGCUGCGUCAGCCCCUUUAAAUGUCCUCAAUUCCCCUACUUGGAAAGUCCCUGGAUAACAUGUUAUUUAAAUGAACCUAUUCCACGGCUUCCAUGGUUACUUACUUUUCUCAAUGACGAAUCUUAAAACGGAUUGUCUGUAAAAGAUCAUCGGUACUUUACCAAUGUCCCAGGCUCCCCCUCCCCAAAAAAACUGUCAGAGGUGCACCACGUGUGUGAAACUAGUCGAUUUCCUUAAUUCAUCCCUGGAGAAUGGAUAAGUCUAUCAAUCUAUUAAAUUGGAAAGCCAUUAGGAGGCCUGGUUUAUGCGUUUCAAGCUGUUAACUAGAAGUUGAUUGAUUGUUGUUCCUCUGAUGGGAUAUGCUGAUCUAAUCUCACUGUGCUCCAGUUUGCA